GAUGAACGCUGGCGGCGUGCCUAAUACAUGCAAGUCGAGCGAAUGGAUUAAGAGCUUGCUCUUAUGAAGUUAGCGGCGGACGGGUGAGUAACACGUGGGUAACCUGCCCAUAAGACUGGGAUAACUCCGGGAAACCGGGGCUAAUACCGGAUAACAUUUUGAACCGCAUGGUUCGAAAUUGAAAGGCGGCUUCGGCUGUCACUUAUGGAUGGACCCGCGUCGCAUUAGCUAGUUGGUGAGGUACCGGCUCACCAAGGCAACGAUGCGUAGCCGACCUGAGAGGGUGAUCGGCCACACUGGGACUGAGACACGGCCCAGACUCCUACGGGAGGCAGCAGUAGGGACUCUUCCGCAAUGGACGAAAGUCUGACGGAGCAACGCCGCGUGAGUGAUGAAGGCUUUCGGGUCGUAAAACUCUGUUGUUAGGGAAGAACAAGUGCUAGUUGAAUAAGCUGACACCUUGACGGUACCUAACCAGAAAGCCACGGCUAACUACGUGCCAGCCGCCGCGGUAA
rnacentral:rRNA from 1 species